GCGAACUGCACCAGUGGUGAAGUGGUUGACAGCGGCGACGACGACGGCGUUGAUGGAGGUGAUGUUGACGGCGGUGGAGCUGAGGUAGGUGGUGAAGUGGGCGGUGGAGCAUAGGUAUAGGUGGUGGUGGUCAUGGAAUUUUUUAUUUUUUUUGUUUAUUAUUUUGCAAGUGUCAAAUUUGAGUCCAAGUAGGUGCCAUAUAAGUCUGAUAUUACCACGUAGGUGCCAUGUCAAUUCGGUAGUCACCGGAGAUGAAAAGUGUGGAAAAUUUGAACAAGCGUUUAAAUUCAGAGAAUUGAAGGUAAAAAUUGAAGUUCGUGGAAAAUCUUGAAAUCGGGCCAAAGUUAAUGGGAUUUGGUGUCAUUACCCCUUUAUUAAACUGAAUAUGUCCACUAUAUAUCCGUGUUUUAGUGGGUAAAUAUUUUUAUAAUAUGCUCCAACUAUUUGACUUUUAUAUUGAACGAAUUUCUUUUAAAUUGAAGGUUUAUUUGUAAAUUAUAUUUUUUUUCUUUUUUUUUCUUUUUUUUUUUUUUAUUUCAUUUUAAAAUGAUGAAAUUCGACUAAUUAUAAAAUAUUUAAUAUGCGUGUCAAAUUAAAGAUCACAAUAAGAGCUUUAAUUUGAUAUAUUUUAUGUAAAUAUUUUAUUUAAAUUGUAAAAGUUACAUUUAUUUAAAGAUCAAAAUUUUAAAACAUAUAUUCUCUCUCAUUUUGAAUAAAUCUAUUUUUUCAUUUAUUUUCUAUUUUAAUUUUUAUUGUCAUUUUCAU
rnacentral:lncRNA from 1 species